CUCCUCCUGACCUCAAACAAUCCUUCUGCCCUGGACUCCCAAAGUGCUGGGUUUACAGGCAUGAGCCAACCACACCUGACCCAUGACUGCUUUCAUAUUUGUUUUUUGGAGGAAGUGUCCAGUCACCACAAUGAUCCAGAAUAGAGCACAGAACAAGAUGCCUGAAUUUACUGCCCUGCAAUCGCCAACUUCCCGCUCCAUUGAGACACCCCAGUGGACACCGGGUUGUUGACAUCCACAACACCACUGGUUCAAGGCUGGAGCGGGUAAUCUCCCUAUGAGGAAAAGGGUCUUAAGAUUUACACCUCCGGACUUCCACUUGUGCGUGAGGCGAGCAGAGCUGGAGACAAGACCAGAGGCCGAACUCGGGAUCUGACAAGAUGGCCGGGCUGCCCUGAAGGAUCAUCAAGGAAACCCAGCAUUUGCCGGCAGAACCCGUUCCUGGCAUUAAAGCAGAACCAGAUGAGAGCAACGCCCGUUACUUUCAUGUGGUCAUUGCUGGCCCCCAGGAUUCGCCCUUUGAGGGAGGGACUUUGAAACUUGAACUAUUCCUUCCAGAAGAAUACCCAAUGGCAGCUCCUAAAGUAUGUUGCAUUACCAAAAUUUAUCAUCCUAAUGUAGACAAGUUGGGAAGAAUCUGUUUAGAUAUUUUGAAAGAUAAAUGGUCCCCAGCACUGCAGAUCCUCACAGUUCUGCUAUCAAUCCAAGGCUUUGUUAAGUGCCCCCAAUCCAGAUGAUCCGUUAGCAAAUGAUGUAGCGGAGUAGUGGAAGACCAAUGAAGCCCAAGCCAUAGAAACAGCUAGAGCAAGGACUAGGCUAUAUGCCAUGAGUAAUGUUUAAAUCGAUCCGAUCAUCAAGUGUGCAUCACUUCUCCUGUUCUGCCAAGACUUCUUCCUUUUUUGUUUGCAUUUAAUGGACACAGUCUUAGAAACAUUACAGAAUAAAAGCCCAGACAUCUUCAGUCCUUUGGUGAUUAAAUGCACAUUAGCAAAUCUA